rnacentral:rRNA from 1 species
CAGUCGCCACGGGAAUACGGAGGGGGCUAGCGUUGUUCGGAAUUACUGGGCGUAAAGCGCACGUAGGCGGCUUGGUAAGUUAGAGGUGAAAGCCCGGAGCUCAACUCCGGAAUUGCCUUUAAGACUGCCGAGCUAGCAGGUGAGAGAGGUAAGUGGAAUUCCGAGUGUAGAGGUGAAAUUCGUAGAUAUUCGGAAGAACACCAGUGGCGAAGGCGGCUUACUGGCUCAUACUGGACGCUGAGGUGCGAAAGCGUGGGGAGCAAACAGGAUUAGAUACCCCAGUAGUCCCUGUCUCUUAUAC